UGCGUAGGUGGACUAAUAAGUCAGUGGUGAAAUCUCUCGGCUCAACCGGGAAACUGCCAUUGAUACUGUUAGUCUUGAGUUCGGUUGAGGUAGGCGGAAUGUGUAAUGUAGCGGUGAAAUGCUUAGAUAUUACACAGAACACCAAUUGCGUAGGCAGCUUACUAGACCGACACUGACGCUGAGGCACGAAAGCGUGGGUAGCGAACAGGAUUAGAUACCCUGGUAGUCC
rnacentral:rRNA from 1 species